rnacentral:rRNA from 1 species
UAGGGAAUCUUCGGCAAUGGACGAAAGUCUGACCGGGCAACGCCGCGUGAGUGAAGAAGGUUUUCGGAUCGUAAAACUCUGUUGUUAGAGAAGAACGUUGUGUAGAGUGGAAAAUUACACAAGUGACGGUAUCUAACCAGAAAGGGACGGCUAACUACGUGCCAGCAGCCGCGGUAAUACGUAGGUCCCGAGCGUUGUCCGGAUUUAUUGGGCGUAAAGCGCGCGCAGGGGGUUUAAUAAGUCUGAUGUAAAAGGCAGUGGCUCAACCAUUGUGUGCAUUGGAACCGGUUAGACUUGAGGUCAGUAGAGGAGAGUGGCAUUCCAUGUGUAGCGGUGAGAUGCGUAGAUAUAUGGAGGCACACCGGUGGCGAGAGCGGCUCUCUGGACUGUAACUGACACUGAGGCUCGAAAGCGUGGGUAGCAAAC